CUGGAACUGGAUCCGGAGGUGGAUGUGCUGCUGGCCACUCUAGAGGUGAUGGAGAAGCUGGAGCAGUGUGUGUUGAACUAGCAGACUCAGAUCACCAUUGUCGUCGAGGCGCAGCAGAAGAAGAAACCUCAGGCGCCAGGCCCCAUAGCAGACAUAGAAACCUGGACCUGUCCAUGACCGAGCCUAUGCAAUCUCCAUGUGGGGAUUGUGCGCUUCCUUAGCACACUGGAGAGCCUCUUCAAGAACCUGGCCACUGGGGCAGACUUUGCUGUGAUUCUGGACACCAUCCCUCUGAUGAUGAACUGUCUGUACAUGGUGUGGAUCAUCUCCAGCUACUACAACAAGGACAAACACAUGGAGCCCUUCAUGGAGCGCAUUGCCCGGGAGCUGUUUGUGUGCGUGGCUCAUAUCAUCAAUGUCCACGUGCUCUGUUUGUGCACCAGCUUUCUGCUAUGAUUAUGAACACAUUGGGCUGAAUGGUCAUCUGGUCAUCACCCAGGCCCUGCCCAUGUACCUGGUUGGAGCCCCUGCAGGGCUGGCUGGAACAGAGAAGACAGUCCACCAAGGACCUUACCAAGGCUCGGGGCCACACAUUUCUCCUCUCCCCUGUCUUCCCCCUCUGUGUCCAGGCUGUGGGUAACAUUUUGUCUGGCCUGGCCCAGUAUGUUGCCUGGGGCUGCUUUGAUGAAUUCAACCUCAUCGAUGACUCUUGCUGUCUGUCAUCUACUCCAAGAUCCAGACCAUCUGCAAUGCUCUCAUCCUGCACCUCAAAGUGCUUCCAUUUUUCCGGGCCUGGAGAUCAGCAUGGACGACCGCGUGGGAAUCUUCAGCACUAUGAACCCUGGCUACGCUGG